AGGAAUCGAACUGUUACCUCCUGGUUCAUAGGUCGAUGUUCAACCACUGAGCCACACCAGCCUGCCUGCUUUUGACUUUUGGUGAUGAUUGCUUUGGCAUGUUCUUGACUUUAUAUAAAUGCAGUAAAGUAAUAUGUAUAUUUUGUUUCUUGAUUCUUUCAUUCAACAUUGUAUUCGAGAUCCAUCCAUGUUAUCUUAUGUAGCUUUGUUUAUUCUCAUCUGCUGUCUAGUAACCCAAUAUAUGAAUGAAUAUACCAUAACUUAUUUAUUUUUAAAAUUGAUUUUAGAGAGGGAGGAAGGGAGAGAGAGAAACAUUGAUGUGAGAGAGAUACAUCGAUUGUUAGACACGACCUUCCAAUGCAUGGGAUACUGCUUUAACCAACUGAGCCACACCAGCCAGGGCUAUCAUAACUUAUUCUUUCUACUGUUUGUGGGUAUCUGGGUUGUUUCUAGUUUUUGCAAAUGCUGCCCUGAAUAUCCUUGCUUGUUUUUUGGGUGCAGAUAUGUAUACAUUCCUAUUAGGUGUGUUCAAAGGAGUGACAAGUAGUGGUGUCAUUUGAUCAGCCUCAGUAGACACUGCCCGAGUGGUGUUGGGACCAGUUUGUACCAUCUGCAGUGUGUGAGCAGUCAGUGGUUCUCUAAUACGUGGUCACAUCAGUUCUUUCAUUCUCGCUGUCUGGUGGGUGUUGAGUGCAUAUAUGUAUGGCAGAUUUUCUUUUACGUUCUUGUGUUUGCCUCUUCACUCUCUCAGUGGUAUCUUUUGAUAAGAAGUUUUCAUUUUAAUGUAGCCCAAUUGAUGCUCUUGGUUCAUUGCACGAUAUCAUGAAGUUCAUGAAGGUGUUUUCCUGUGAAAGCUUUCUUGUUUUAUCUGUCACAUUUAGAUCUAUAAUCCAUCUGAAAUUGAUUUUUGUCAAAGUUGUGAGGUG